rnacentral:rRNA from 1 species
ACACGUAGGGGGCGAGCGUUGUUCGGAAUCAUUGGGCGUAAAGGGCGCGCAGGCGGCGAGGCAAGUCCGGUGUGAAAGUGCUCGGCUCAACCGAGUGAUGCGCUGGAAACUGCCCUGCUUGAGUACAGGAGGGGACGUCGGAAUUCCAGGUGUAGGGGUGAAAUCUGUAGAUAUCUGGAAGAACACCGGUGGCGAAGGCGGACGGCUGGCCAUGUACUGACGCUGAGGCGCGAAGGUGCGGGGAGCGAACAGGUUUAGAUACCCUGGUAGUCCGCACAGUAAACGAUGUGCACCAGGUGGCGGGGGGUAGCCCUCGGUACCGAAGCCAACGCAUUAAGUGCACCGCCUGGGGAGUAUGCUCGCAAGGGUGAAACUUAAAGGAAUUGACGGGG